GUUUGGGUAGCUCAGUUGGUUAGAGCGCAGGUCUCAUAAGCCUGAGGUCGUGAGUUCGAAACUCACCCCGAGCA
rnacentral:tRNA from 1 species